AUGGCCCCCCGGCCUCGCUUAUCCACAAGCGGCCGCAGAGGGGCGGCUCCGCUGAGCCGCCGCCAGGGGGCGUACCGGCGAGGGGCUGCGUCCACCUUGCCGCCGAGUGCCUCCUCCCCUUCGGCCGCCCCGAUUCCCUCUUCAUCCUCCAGCUCCAGCCCAACCCCGACACCCCGGACGUCAAGCGGGCCUUCCGUCGCCUCGCCAACCUCCUGGCCCCUCAGCGCCAUCCCCAUCCCCGGCUGA
rnacentral:rRNA from 1 species